rnacentral:rRNA from 1 species
CACGUAGGGGACGAGCGUUGUCCGGAUUCAUUGGGCGUAAAGCGCGCGUAGGCGGCUCGGAAAGUCGGUCGUGAAAUGCCGGGGCUCAACCCCGGGACUGCGUCCGAUACUCCCGAGCUGGAGGCAGGUAGGGGAGAUCGGAAUUCCUGGUGUAGCGGUGAAAUGCGCAGAUAUCAGGAGGAACACCGGUGGCGAAGGCGGAUCUCUGGGCCUUGCCUGACGCUGAGGCGCGAAAGCUAGGGGAGCAAACAGG